CCCCCCGCACUCCCGGGGCGUCUCUGGCUCAUCGCGAGCGGAGGCGCACCUAGAGCGUUCACGUUGGGACCCGAAAGAUGGUGAACUAUGCCUGGCCAGGACGAAGCCAGGGGAAACCCUGGUGGAGGUCCGUAGCGGUUCUGACGUGCAAAUCGAUCGUCGGAGCUGGGUAUAGGGGCGAAAGACUAAUCGAACCAUCUAGUAGCUGGUUCCCUCCGAAGUUUCCCUCAGGAUAGCUGGCGCCCAGGUUGAGACGAGUCUCAUCUGGUAAAGCGAAUGAUUAGAGGCAUUGGGGUCGAAACGACCUCAACCUAUUCUCAAACUUUAAAUGGAUGAGAACCCCGGCUUGCUUGAUCACUUCUCGUGAAGCCGGGGCUCGGAUCCGGGUGCCAAGUGGGCCAAUUUUG
rnacentral:rRNA from 1 species